rnacentral:rRNA from 1 species
UACGUAGGGGGCAAGCGUUGUCCGGAAUCAUUGGGCGUAAAGAGCGUGUAGGCGGCCCGGUAAGUCCGCUGUGAAAGUCCAGGGCUCAACCCUGGAAUGCCGGUGGAUACUGUCGGGCUCGAAUCCGGAAGAGGUGAGUGGAAUUCCUGGUGUAGCGGUGAAAUGCGCAGAUAUCAGGAGGAACACCAAUGGCGAAGGCAGCUCACUGGGACGGUAUUGACGCUGAGACGCGAAAGCGUGGGGAGCAAACAGG